rnacentral:rRNA from 1 species
UACGGAGGGGGCUAGCGUUGUUCGGAAUUACUGGGCGUAAAGCGCACGUAGGCGGCUUUGUAAGUUAGAGGUGAAAGCACGGGGCUCAACUCCGGAAUUGCCUUUAAGACUGCAUCGCUAGAAUUGUGGAGAGGUAAGUGGAAUUCCGAGUGUAGAGGUGAAAUUCGUAGAUAUUCGGAAGAACACCAGUGGCGAAGGCGACUUACUGGACACAUAUUGACGCUGAGGUGCGAAAGCGUGGGGAGCAAACAGG